UCUCCAGAAUAAGAGCUGACAUCCCUAAUGACACAGGAGUACUUUAUCUGAUGUGGGAACUCUUAGGAAUUUUAUCCAUAAAGAAUAUGAAUGUUGGUCCUCUAAAAUGAAGUACUUCUACACUGUAUAAUUAUCUAGCAGAAAUAUUGACUUUUCACUUUAGGAAAAGCACAGGUGAAACAACAUGAGCAAUGGCUCUGUUACAUGUCCCAGGAAAUCAUGAUGGUGAGCCAGCACAUACAAAACAAAGUCCCUCAAACUCAGGCAAAUAAAUGAAAUUCAACAAUCAUUGAUUUGACUACUACAUAUUUUCUUACUGUGCAAUGUGUCCACUGAUGGAAGUCUUCAGAUUAUAAACAUCACUACACCCAUAAGAUGAACUGGGCUUUGUACUUGGAGAGUAAACAACUAGUAAAAACAAGAUCUGCAGAUUCUUUUGAAACCAAAAACUUUAAUCACAGUAUAAACAAUAACAAAUGAUAAAAGUUGAGGAAUUAAGAACAAAGAGUCCAGAAAGUCCCAGAGGAAAAGCCUGUCAUCCAGCAGGUCUUAAAGCGGCUGUCCAGCAUAAUCAGCUGCUGCAGCUCCGCUGCCUCAGGUUGAUAUGGGCGCCGCUGGCCUCAGACUUGACACCGGGAGGGUCCUGGGUCUCCAGCUGAGCUCACCGGUCUGGUUGUUGGCAACAUGUGCUGUCACAGCCAUGGC